UAAGGAAUAUUGGACAAUGGGGGAAACCCUGAUCCAGCCAUGCCGCGUGAGUGAUGAAGGCCUUCGGGUUGUAAAGCUCUUUUGUCCGGGACGAUGAUGACGGUACCGGAAGAAUAAGCCCCGGCUAACUUCGUGCCAGCAGCCGCGGUAAUACGAAGGGGGCAAGCGUUGUUCGGAAUCACUGGGCGUAAAGCGUGCGUAGGCGGCUUGAUAAGUCGGAAGUGAAAUCCCUGGGCUCAACCCAGGAAUUGCUUUCGAAACUAUCUUGCUUGAGUCCGGGAGAGGUUGGCAGAAUUCCCAGUGUAGAGGUGAAAUUCGCAGAUAUUGGGAGGAAUACCAGUGGCGUAAGCGGCCAACUGGACCGGAACUGACGCUGAGGCACGAAAGCGUGGGGAUCAAA
rnacentral:rRNA from 1 species